GUGAGGAAUAUUGCGCAAUGGAGACAACUCUGACGCAGCCAUGCCGCGUGCAGGAAGAAGGCGCUACGCGUUGUAAACUGCUUUUAACCGGGAAGAAACCCCAGGACGUGUCCUGGGUUGACGGUACCGGAGGAAUAAGCACCGGCUAACUUCGUGCCAGCAGCCGCGGUAAUACGAAGGGUGCAAGCGUUAUCCGGAUUCAUUGGGUUUAAAGGGUGCGUAGGCGGAGCGUUAAGUCAGUGGUGAAAUCCUGCAGCUUAACUGUAGACUUGCCAUUGAUACUGGCGCUCUUGAGUGCGCUUGAAGUGGGCGGAAUGUGCCGUGUAGCGGUGAAAUGCUUAGAUAUGGCACAGAACACCAAUUGCGAAGGCAGCUCACUAAGGCGAUACUGACGCUGAGGCACGAAAGCGUGGGGAUCGAACAGGAUUAGAAACCCUGGUAGUCC
rnacentral:rRNA from 1 species